AUUGAACGCUGGCGGCAGGCCUAACACAUGCAAGUCUAGCGAGCGGCGGACGGGUGAGUAAUGUAUGGGGAUCUGCCCGCUAGAGGGGGAUAACUACGGGAAACGGUCGCCAAUACCGCGUCCCAUAGGAUGAGCCCAAGUGGGAUUAGGUAGUUGGUGAGGUAAAGGCUCAACAAGCCGACGAUCUCUAGCUGGUCUGAGAGGAUGAUCAGCCACACUGGGACUGCGACCCGGCCCAGAAGCCUACGGGAGGCAGCAGUGGGGAAUAGUGCAAAAGGGGAGCAAGCCUGAUGCAGCCAGGCCGCGUGUAGGAAGAAGGCCGUAGGGGUGUAAAGUACUUUCAGCGGGGAGGCGUUACCCGCAGAAGAAGCACCGGCUAACUCCGUGCCAGCCGCCGCGGUAAUAC
rnacentral:rRNA from 1 species